rnacentral:vault_RNA from 1 species
GGGCUGGCCGUAGCUCAGCGGUUCCUUCGACUUCAUCAUGUCAAAUUACUCUCUCUUGAGGGUGGUUCGAGACCCGCGGGCGCUCUCCAGUCCUUUU